GGCUCUCUAUCAUUAUUGAUCAAAAGUUAAAAGUUUCCGAAAAUGAAUCAAACCCUAAAGACAUGUAUCUCCCUCCUCGUACCCUAUCGCUUCUCAUCGGCUCCAUCAUGCUUCCGCCGCCCGCAGCCCGUCGCCUGCCGGCGGCGGUGAUGCUCUGAUGGACCCCAAUUUUACACCAUUGAAUCCCCGUCUCCUCCUAUUUCCAAAUCCCCAAAUCCCAUCCCUCGAAUCCUAGCCUAUAUUUUCAAAUCUUAGAUCAAAAUGCCGUCUUAAAACCUUACUUGCUCCAAAAUCCACCAAAGUUUCAUCACAUAACCUUCUCAUCUUCCUCUUCACAAAUCCGUGGCUAGUUUCUUUCAAUUUCACCUGGCCGUCUCAAAUUUGAAAUCUAGGGAUGCUGAAGUCAAGUCUGUUUUGGGAGAUUUUUUGCAAGUUUGAAUGUUUUUUACAGUAAGUGUUCCUUAGUUUUUUAUUUCUAUUAGUGUAGUUUAGCUUUUCUUUUUUUUCUUUUCCUUUCAAUCCAGUUGGUUACUAGAAGCUUGGCUCAUAGUUUGAUUCUGAUUUAGUUUUAGUUUAACUUGGUGUUAAUCUUGUUAUAGUAGUUUAGUUUUGUUAUAACUUCAUAGUUCAUCAGUCCUUGUUAGGGUUUAAUUGUUAGUAUAUGUGCCCCUAUUCUUUUUUACACCGAUUUGGUUUGGCAUAGAUGUUGGUUUAAUUUUAUGCCUGAUCGAUUCUGUAUUAGUUUAAUUUUGUUUUGAUUCAUUAUGAUUAGUUGAUUUUUGGAUAAUAGUUAAUUGGGUUCCACAUCUUUAGGAUACAUGAUACUAAUAGUUGAUUGUUUGAUUCUGGAUUUAGCUUGACUAUAGUUAGUUGUCUAAUCAACCAUGGGUAAAGGUUUGGUUUAGUUAACUGAGGUAGUAAUUUCAGGGAGGAAAUAAGGGUAGUUUAGGCAUGGAAAAGUAUAGUUUGGUUAAGAAUAGUGAUUCCAAAAUGAAAGCAAGGGUAGUAUAGGUAUUGUAUAGGUAGAAGAACACACUAAGGCCUUCUAGAAUAGGACUUUAGUAUACAUUUUAGUACAAUAGAGGUAGUUACAUGGGUAGCAAGUUAAUAAAUAAGGGACUAAAGUAAAAGAAGAAGAGGGACUGAAAAGAAAACCAAAAAUCUGAUUGUUCACCCUUAUGGUGCCUAUAAAUUGGCAUUCUCAUGCCUUAGGGAGGUAUCUUCUUUUUAGCCAACAAAAAUUUCCCAAAUACUCUCUAGUUACAGGUUCAAAAGGAGAUCUAAAAUCUGAAAUUUCUUUUAGUUUAAGCUUUUCUAAAGAAAAGCUAAAAAAACAACAAAAACUCUGAAAAGCCAAAAGAAAAACGUAGUUCCAUUGCUUUUUCUCUUAGAUUAUUUUCCUAUUCUAGCUUAGUUCAAUUCUUUAAUCCUCUUAAUAAACUUAAAAUAGCUCAAAAUAUGUUGUUUCUGUUCAAAAUUUGAAGUUUGAAAGUCACUGGAAUCAUUUGAGCACUAUUAUUGGGUUCUUCAAUGGGAUUUGGGUUGUUUGAGUUGGAUGCGGUUUGCUGGGUCUAUUUCUGAGCAUUUUGGUACUAAUUUUGGGUUAUUCUGUGAUCCUAUUUGGUUUUGAAACAAUCCUGAGGCUUAGAGCUUGUUUCUGAAUUGCUGCUACAUGGUUAUUGCAUCGGCUCGCCUAUUCUCUUUUGUUAUUUCACCUUUCCAGGUACACACUCGAAAUUCAGCUGUAACUCCAAGCUUGAAAUGGAAUAAAAUUUCCCACCUAUUUGAUCCUGAGAUCUGCCUGCUAGUUGUUACAUAUUCAUAGUUAGAUAGAUAUUAUAAGCGUUGUUUAAUAUAGUUAAGUGUCAAUUGGUUGUGUAUAAACUGUGGACCGUGUGGACUAUCACUCUUACUCUUGAUUGAAUUUCUUAAGUAAGAGCAGACGUAAUUAUUUUUGAGCCAAAUUACAGAGUGAUCUAAUUUCAGGCAUGCUUCAGUUAAAGGUGUUAGUUUCAUGAUAUGUUAAUGGCAUCGUUUCGUAAAGGAUUUAUUAAAUCGUUUCUGAUUUGUGUAAGAAAUAGGACAUAACGUUAACAACCUACUCACAACUUACGUUCAAUUGCCAUGCCAAUUUAAAGUAUAUGAGUUUUUUUUACCUUAGUUCCAGAUUUUCUUUUUACCUUAGUGAUAUCUUGUAACUCGUCAAAAGUUAGAAUAUAAAAUAAUCUGAGUUAAAUUUGAAAAUUAAGUUGAUCAUUGUUGAGUCAAUCUGAAUAGGCGCAUGUUGUUUCCUCCGUUACAAACGUGUUGAAUGAUUUUUUAUAACUGUGGUGGACGUCUGGGUCUACACUGAACUGAGGCUUCACUUGAUUCAGCUAGCACCCUUACAGCGGGCACUUGGGCUUAAAUGCAUCAAUAAGCAGCCCAGGCCCUACUGAUUUCUUCACAUGACCCGUGUCCAAGAAAUUUGAACGCAUGUGUUCAUGGACUCCAAACAUAUUUGAUUCCACAACAACCCAAUUCGUUAGGAUCUCUUUUUAUUUAUUUUAGAGACAAACAAAAGUAGAAAAUCGUAGUCAGUUUUAGGUUGGCCCUUUAAUAAAAUGUUGAGGCGUGCCUUAGUCAAAUAAAAAUACAAAAUGUGGGGCCCUCAUUAAAUAGUUAUUAAAAUACUUAGAAUUUGGGAGCACCGUUUAGUGAACUUAACGGCUUUUUCCAAAAUAAUAAUACGCUAGACUCUUUAGGCGUGAUUUAAUUAAAUUAUUCUCUUAAACUUUGGUGCGCAUUGAUGCGCCCAAAUCCAAAUCUCAACGGAGUCAAAUGUGUUAACAACCACAGGUGCAUUGAUUGCGACGUGGUUUGAGAUGCAUUUUCACGAUAUUACAAUUCUUUUAAAAUAAUUAUAAAAGCGGUUUACGAAUAAAAGGCAUAUUUUGGCAUGUAUUAAAAUCAGAUAAAAUCAAAUUCAUUAGUUGAGCGAGCGUGCUAGAACCACGGAAUCCGGGAAUGCCUAACACCUUCUCCCAGGUUAACAGAAUUCCUUAUCGGAUUUCUAGUUCGCGGACUGUAAUACAAGGUCAUAUUUUUCCUCGGUUCGGGAUCAAACUGGUGGCUUGGGACACCAUCAAUCUCCCAAGUGGCGACUCUGAAAUCUUAAUAAUAACUGCAUAUUUCGAUUGUCCUUUAAGUGAAAAAACUUCUUUACACCGUUGCGGGUUGUAGGUAAAAAGGAGGUGUGAUAGCUUUGGCGACUCUACUAGGACAAGAACCUAGAAUAUUUUGUUCAGGGUUCAGAAUUUGAGCUUAGAUAAAUUGUUUUAUUUGGUUAUAUUAGAUUUUCCUCCAUGUUUUGUACUGAAUGUGCUAAAUGUUACUGCUUUGAUAUUUUCUGUACUGUAUAUAAACUGUGUCGAUACUCUUCUCUUCUCACCUCCGGGUAUGUGCUUACUGGUUGACACUCUCUAUUCUGUUAGUGUCAUACCCUGAAAUAAGAAAGACACCGGACACGUUAUGAAGCCGGAUGGUCUUUCGGUUCCCGGUAAGUUUCCCCCUACUCGAGUCGCGUUGUCUGCUCGGGUCGGGAUUUUGAACACAAAGUAAUGUGACUUCAUGCUAGAUCCCUAGUAGUAACGCUUAUUUGCAUCAUGUUGCAUUUGCCUUAGGGGACUAAACACAGGUGUUGGGUCCGUCUAGGACUAGCAACCUGAAAUAAAUAGACCAUCUUGAUGCAUCUUAUUUAUUUUUCGUGCAUUUAUUUGUCUCGGGCCCGCAUGUUGACAAGCUUUUGAAUAUCAAGAAUUUUGUGAAAUUAAGAAACCAAUGUCUAAUUACUGUCGAAGAUCUACCGAAAUUUGAAAAACAAAACAAGAUGUUUUAUUUUUAAUAGUUUGUUUACUAAAAAGCAAAGGAAAUUUUAAAAAAAAAUUAUAUAUUGAAAAUUGAUUGUUGAAAAAGAAAAGAAAAGAGUCUUUAUUUAAGUUUGAGAAAAACAGGUUGUUUUAUUGUUUAUGUAAAAUGAAAACAAAUAGUCGUUAUUUUGUCUUGUUUUCAAAAAUAGAAAAGGAAAAUAGUUUGUCAUUCCAUGAAAAAUGAAAAUGAAAAAAGAGUCUUGUUUUUUUAAAAUUGUUUUUUUAUUUUAUUUGUUUAUGAAAUGCCAAAAAUGAAAAUGAAAAGAGUCGUGCUUUUGAAAGUGGUUUUGUUAUUUGCUUAGGAAAUGCAAAAAAUAGAAAUCAAAAAGAGUCUUGUUUUAAAAUAGUUUGUUUAAUUUGCCCGAACUAUGCAGGUUUGAUUCUCACCGGAUGUGAGAUACGUAGACAACCGUCAUCGGGUCCAACCUCCCCUUUUGCAAAAAUAGCGAAAACUAUAUCAAAAUUUUAAUUUUCAUCAUAAAUAAGUCGGGUGAUGCCGUUUGUGUCAAAAAUAGUCAAAUGUUCCCAACAAGGACGCCGAAAGGCUAACUUUGCAUGAACGACCACUUUGGUCAUGUGAUAUUUUUUACCCUCACAGCUUUAAUUCUCCGUCCCCGGGGUGCCAAAAGGCUGUGUUCACAGUAUUGAGUCUUUUUAUUUUAAUUUGGAAAAUAAGAAAAGAGCCAUAAAUAAGUCAGGUAACGCCGUUUUAUCAUAAAUAGCUGAAUAUUCCCGAAAGGAACGCCGGAAGGCUGACUUUGCAAAAAUGAUCAUUUUUGGUUAAUUUUGAUUUUUGAUAGUUGACUCACUAGUCUUAAAAUCUUCGUCCCCGAAGUGCUGAAAGAUCAUGUUCGAAAACCGAGUCUUUCUUUUUAAAUUUGGGAAACGAAAAUAGUUAGAGUUGUUUUGAGUCGAAUAAAAGUUUUCUUUUGCUUAAUCACCUUAAUAAAUGUGCAGGAUGAGCACGACACAAAAUGAACCUUUUUCAAUAAUGACUCAAAUCCGUUUCGAGUUGCGGCUAUGGUGGAGUGAUUUAGGCAGGGAGGGGCAAGAUGAAGUAAAGAACUAUCUGAAAGAUCUUACGGGUUUAUUGGACAUCAAACCUCGGGGGAAGGGGGGAGGGGGGGGAUAUUAUCAGGGCAUUGUCACCUGUUGGGACUCGGCACACAAUGUCUUCUAUUUCCCAGACUUUGAACUCACCCGACUUUGGAGGAAAUAAUCGGGUACAUCGGAAGUCCUGAAGCUCCGUUAAGGUUCAAAUACUUGGUUGCUCCCAGAGCCGUCACUGUGCACCGAUUUUUAGACUUAUUAAAAAUACCCAGGAUAGUCCAUAACCCAAACUUGGCAGUAGGCUUUUGUCAUCAGCGCUUCAUAUAUGAUAGAUAUGGUCAUGUCGGAGGGUUCAACAACCCGAGCCAUAAGCUAUGUAGUAGAAGUAACCAUCAAAAGUGUGAUUAAUACAGACGAGUGGCUUUUAUGAUAACCUUCUUGGGUCUUUUGGUGUUCCCAAGGAAAGACAGACACAUCAACUUAAAGGUGGCCGGGGCCGUCAUACUUUGCUCACUCAGGAGAAAAGCACUCUUGCACCUAUGAUAUUAUCUGAUAUCCUCCGAGCUCUUAAAGUAUGUAAAGUCGGAGGGAAUUUUUUCGAGGGGUGUAACUUGUUGGUGCAGAUGUAUAUGACUGAGCACCUAUGUCAUCGUGCCCAGUUCCUGAGCCAUGGUUCCUCUGAUUAAACUUUCAUAGAGGAGUUUUACACAAGAAUUAAUGGGGCUAGUCUACCCGAGGGAGUCACAGUCUAGACAUCAUUCUUCCGGACCCUCAUUGCCAACCAAAUAUAGUGGACGCUCGGAUGGUUGCCUGUUGAUGAAGUCAUAUAUAUGCCGGCAGCUAGGCUCCAUUUUCUCUUGAUGGGACUUAAACACCUAUCCAUAUGAACCAUAUCGAGUCUCGAGACAACUUGGGAUGUAUCAAAUAGUGUCGAAAGACGAAGAUAUGAGUACCCAAGUGGUUGAAAUCAGCCCUAACGGUCAGUUCCCUAAAAAAACGUCCGCCAGAUUUGGAGUGAAUGUCAGCAUUUGGCGGCGAACACUUGUGUAUUGGAUAGGGCUAAAGGGGAAUUUUCCCCUGGUUAUCAUGCUUGGUAUAGAGGUGACGUGUCAUGUGGGAGGCUGGCUAAAAGACCUCAUCUUAAAGAUAUUUCCGAGUCAUCACAAGAGCAAUGGGAUUGGUUAGCAAAAGAAUAAGGUUAUCGGUGCAAUUGGCAAGAUAGAACAACAAAUUAAAGGUCUGAAAUUUAAGAACAAUAUGCAAGUUAUUGCUAAUCAGGGUGAAAAGAAUAGGUUGGCCCAAGAAAUCGAAGCACUUAGGACCCAGAUCCAACAAAUGAGAAUAGCCGCUGAUAAAUAAUCGAGGAGCCGGUUGCAUGAGCGUCUGAUAAAUGGGUUGAAAAAUGAAAUCAGUGAGUGCCGAGAUGAGUUGGAAAAAUCCAAGAGUACUAUAGCGGGGAUCAAGGCACAGUAGGCAAGAAGAACAAAAGAAUGCACCCAUUACUUGCAACAUUUGAAGAAGGAUUAUGAAAAAACCAUUGCCAGUCUGAAAAGAAAAGUGGUCUCCUUUGAGGAGAAAGCAGCUAAGCAAGCUAAGGCUUGUGAUACCGGAAGUGGACAUUACUAUGAUUUACUGGCCCGAAUGGAAGUAGAAAUACAGCAGCUGCAGGAUCAUAAUCUUCAGGAUUCUCAUGUGUUUGGAGGCUCGCAAUAAUCAAAUAAGUCGAUUGCUUAUAGAAAAGGCUCGAUCAAGAGACAGGAUUGAGACCAUUGCCCACUCCAUUCGUAGGAGAUGUCGGGCAUGUGAAGAAAUGACCCGCACUACUUUCUUCUCAGUAAUGAUGAUCUAUGUUAUGCGGACUAUGUCUAAGUUGGAGCAACUAGAAAGGGAUUUGGCACCUAAGCCCGCGGUGAGGCCGAACGAUGGCCCACAUGUACCACUUUUGAAGAACUAAUGUAUUCGUAGAUCGAGUCUGUCUAUUUUCUUUUGCGUCCGAGUAUGCUAGUAUAUUUGUAGUCUAUAUUUGAGUUUAGCUGGAGUCUAUUAGUUUCCUUUUCAAAAUAUUUAGUUUGUAAUAGAAUUUUGUGGUAAUAAAAAACUCAAAAAUUCCCAAAAAUUGUUACUUUAUUUUUGCACUUAUUUUCACGAACUACGCCUGGUCUAAUUCGUAUGGGGUCACGAUACGUAGGCAAUCUCCAUAUGAUUAUACCUUAACCAAAUGAAAAAGGAAAAAUAGAAUAAUAGAGAAAGAAAGAAGAAAAACAAGAGAGGAUGGAAAAAAGAAAGGAGCGUCAAGAAAAGAAAAGAAAAGAGAGAAAAAAGAAAAUAAAGAAAGAAUUAUGAAAGAAAAGAGCAGAAAAACAAGAAAGGGAUAGAAUGGAAAAGAAAAUAUGAAAGAAAGAAAGAAAAGAAGAGAGAGAAGAAACAAAAAGAAAAGAGAAAGUAUAUAGUUGGAACUAAGAAAAUGGCAGGAUGACGCAUGCGGUCGAGCAAAUGCAUAAUAGAAAUGGUAAACCGCAUAGGUGCAUUCAUGCCCAAUGUGCAGUUAUCCAAUAUGUUAAAGCCUAAUAGCUAACGAAAUUGUUGUCUAAAUGUGUGAGUUCAGGCAGGUUGUUAGUUGUUUUACAUUCUGGCAGCCCAUUUCUACAACACCCGAUCAAAAAACAAGCUGAAAAUGACCGGAGAAGAAUCUAAUAUCAGUAUUGUGGACCCGUCAAAAGAGGUUGAGGUGACAGAUGUGAACGCUAUGAAACAGGAGAUGCUUAAGUUCAAACAACAAAUGGCUAAAAUGCAUCAGGCUUGGUCUCAGGGGCAUCCAGUGCCAGUAGAUCCCGCCAAUCCAUCAUAUAUCCCGCCUUUGGUUCAGGUUCAGGAGCCUCCCACUGCCAAUUCAUCUCCAGCCUUCCGUUACUACACACAGGGUUAUGGCACUACUUCCUAUGCUCCCCAACCUCCACCGUCCAAACAAAACCCUCCUCCACCAAUUGCUCAUGUCUUUGUGGCACCUCCACUCGCCACACUACAAAUAUCAUCCAGCGAGCCUUUGUUUCAAACCCACGAUGACCAAUACUAUCUCCCUGAACCUACUUUUAAGUCCCCUCAGCCGUACUCUUAUACCCCUCACUUUGAGCUCCCGGCAGAGACUAAAAAGCCGUCUAAGAACCCAGAACAGGAAGAAAUGUUUCAAAAAAUGAAGAGCAUGUAGCAGUCCUUCAGGAAUAUGCAUGGAUUGGGCAAUCAGGUCAAUAUGGCGUAUAAAGAUCUUUGUCUGUUCCCCGAUGUUGAGCCACCUGCGGGGUUCAAAAUGCCAAAGUUUGAUCUGUAUGAUGGUCACGGAGACCCAGUGGCACAUUUGCGAGGUUUCUGUACUAAGAUGAGAGGGGCCAGGGGAAAAGACAAAUUGUUGAUGAUAUACUUUGGAUAGAGUUUGAGUGGGUCGGCACUAGAAUGGUAUACUCGCAAAGAUUCUAUCAGAUGGUAUACUUAGGAUGACCUAGCACAAAAAUUAUCCAAUCACUUCCAAUAUAAUCUUGUGAUUGUCCCAGACCGGCUGUUAUUAAUAAAACUCGAGAAGAAACUCGGGGAAAGCUUCAGGGAAGACGGGUUCUACUGGAGAGAGCAAGCUGCAAGGGUUGACCCCCCAAUGAGGAAGAGUGAAAUAGUGGAUUACUUUUUAUAGGCUUUGGAGCCAACAUCCUUUGGUCACCUGGUGAAGGCAAUCAAUAAAUCUUUUAAUGAGGUGGUGAAGAUGGGAGCCAUGGUCGAGGAAGGUUUGAAGUCCAAUAAAAUCAUGAGCUAUUCAGCGAUUAAAGCAACCACUCAGGCCAUCUAAAGCAACAUUGGUGGUGUGCUUGGAAAGAAGAAGAAGGAAUAAGUUGCAACAGUUGAAGCUAGUACUUUGUCUCGUUCCAACAACCCUCCACCCUACUACAACCAACCCAGACCCACCACCCAAAUUACUCAUACACCCCAUAUGGCCCUCCACAACAUUACUAUCCACCUCUAGAGCCACAUUUUUCUAUCCAUCACGUCCAGAUAUAUACCCAGCCUCCGGUUCACCCGCAAGCACCGGUUCCCCAAAGCACAUAUCCACCUCCACAAAACACAUACCAACCCCCAAGCUUUCCAUACCAGGAGCCAUCUCUCGCCCAAUCCAACCUUUGGUGAUUAAAGCUACCACUCGGGCUAUACAAUGCGACGCUGGUGGUGUUCUUAGAAAGAAGAAUAAGGAAGAAGUCACAAUAAUUGAAGCUAGUACUUGGUCCAGGCCCAAAAGUCCUCCACCCUACUAUAACCAACACAGACCCCACCACCCAAAUUACCUAUGUACCCCAUACGGCCCUCCACAACAUUACUAUGCACCACCAGAGCCACAUUUUUCUGUCCAUCACGCCCAGACAUACAUACAGCCUCCGGCGCACCCGCAAUGGCGUGCACUGGUUCUCCAAAAUACAUAUCCACCUCCAUAAAACACAUAUCCACCCCCAGGGCUUACAGACCAGGAGUCGGAUUUCGCCCAAUAUAAGCUUUUGGAAAGGUCCAGAAACAGAAAACAUUUACUCCGCUGGGAGAAACUUACACUACUCUUUUUUCGUAUAUUGAAACAGCUGGAAAUGUUGAGCCCAAUUGAGUCCAAAAUGCCAACCCCCCCCCACCAGAAACUUGGACCAGUCGGUCAGCGGUGGGUAUUGUUCAGGGAUGCCAGAGCACGAUAGUAAGAAAUGGUGGGAGUUGAAAAAUGCAGUGCAGGAGCGUAUUGAUAAUCACCGUAUUGAAGUUCAGGCCCCGGAGGUGCCAAACAUUAAUCAAAACCCAUUUCCAGCUCAUCACGAGACCAACAUGAUCGAGUUAGUGCACAAGGGAUGGGAGCUGAAGAAACCCUCACAAACGGUCAUAAUGAUCUGUUCUAGUGAGGCAAAGGUGAACAAAAAAGCAGCUAGGGUGAAACCAGCAGUUCAGUUAAAAAGGACAAAUGACAAGCCAGUUGUGGUGGUUGGGAAAGGGUUAUCUAUUGUUGCAAUGAAGCCAUAAGCCAGUCAAGUUAGUGGUACAAGGGGUAUCAAGUGCGCCCGUGGUAGUUGUGAAUGGGGCCUACAUAGAAACAAUCGUCAUACAGUCGGUAGCACAUUUACCCGUGGCUGAUAGCAAAGCCGUGGCAUGGAAGUAUGAACAAGUAGUUGUGACUUACAAAGGAAAGGAAAUCAAAGAAGAUGUUUGCAAAGCACAAGGGUUAACCCGCUCGAGUAAGUGUUUUACUCCCCGAAGAGUUGUGAAAGUCCAGGGUUUCUAAAGAUGGUCCAAUAUUAGUCAAGAAGGCUGUGACGGAGGAAACGGCGAAGGAGUUCUUGAAAAAGAUGAAAGUACAAGAUUAUUCCAUUGUUUAACAAUUGAGGAAAACGCCAACCCAAAUCUCGUUACUUUCAGUACUUAUACAUUAAGAUGAACAUCGUCGGGCUGUGAUGAAGAUAUUGAAUAAAGCUCAUGUUGCCAAUAAAAUUUCGGUGAAUCAUUCAGAGAAAACCAUGAAAAAAAUCUUUGAAGUGAACAGGGUGACAUUUUCUGGCGAUGAAUUGCUUGUGGAGUGUACAGAACAUAACAGAGCUCUCUACUUGACAGUAAAGUGCGAAGAGUUGUUAGUCACUCGGGUAUUGAUUGAUAAUAGGUACAAUGCCAAUGUUUGUCCUUUGUCCACAUUGAACAAGAUGAAGGUUGAUGAUGACAGAGUUUAUAUGAAUAUUGUUUGCAUUCGAGGGUUUGGCGGUGGUGGUACGGACACAAUGGGGGAUGUCAUACUUGAAUUUACAAUUGGUAGACGCGAUAGUUGAGUUCACCAUGAAAUUUCAAAUGGUAGACGCGACAAUGUCCUAUAACUUGUUGUUGGGGCGACCAUGGAUCCACGCUACCAAAGCGGCGCCUUCUAUACUGCAUCAAAUGGUAAAGUUUGAGUGGGAUGGACAAGAGGUCGUGGUACAUGGCGAAGACAACACAUGUGCUGUAAGUGAUACCAUCGUGCCUUUCCUAGAGACCGAUGAUGAUAAGGGGCCAUGGGUUUAUCAGGUCUUCAAUACAGUUCCGGUGGACAAGGUGCCGGAGAUUAAAAGUAUUCCACUCCCCAGAAUAGCAGAUGCAACCGUCAUGGUAGUUUUGGAGAUGCUAAGUAAUUGGUUCAUGCCAGGAGAAGGCCUGGGGGCUGAUCUCCAGGGUAUUGUUCAACCCGUUUCUUUGCCCAAGAAUCUGGACACCUUUAGGUAGGGGCUCAAGCCAACAGCGACAGAUGUUAGAAGGGCUCGUAAAUUGAAAAAGAAAGCUUGGUUUCUUCCCAAACAGAUUCCACACCUGUCUAGGUCUUUUGUCAGGCCAGGUGUAAGAAAGCAGUUAUUGGCAAAGGUGUCGGGUCCACUGAUUAGUGUAGAGAGGAACUUGGAUAAGGUGUUCGAAAGGGUAUUUGUCGAAGUGAACGUGAUCGAAGCUGGGGAAAGUUCAAGAAAAACAAAUAUACAGUACAUCGGACCACAUGCUAAUAUCAACAAUUGUGAAGCUAAUCCUCUUCCAACUCGGAGGGAGUCGUGGUAGUGGGUUUUGUUUUCCUUUUAUUCACCUGGAUUACUCAACGGUUUGUAAUUAAUUUGCUAUGUUCCAUCCAUUUGGAUGAGUUAAAACCCUGUUAUCUUUACAUCCAAUGAAAUGCAAUUUUUCUUCUUUCUUCAUUCCUAAUUUUGUUUCCGUUUUUAUUUUCUUUUCUGUAAAGUUCUUUAUAUGAUAAUAUCAAUGACAUGACAUGCAUGAGGAAUCUUCCCAGUUAUAGAAGAAAAUCUAACUAAAAAAUAAUAAUACAAUAAAUCGAGUGUUACGAUGAGGUGGAAUGUGAUGAUGACGAGGCCUAUGAGGAAACUAGUAAAGAAUUAAGUCACUUUGAAGAAAAACUCAAACCUAACCUAAAUGACACAGAGACUGUUAAUCUAGGGUACAAAGACAAUGUUCGUGAAACUAAAAUAAGUGUUCAUCUGGAGCCAUAACUCAAGGAGGAGAUAAUCAAAGCAUUAUUUGAGUACAAGGAUAUUUUUGCAUGGUCGUAUGAUGAUAUGGCGGGUCUAAGUACCGAUUUAGUGGUUCACAAAUUGCCCACUGAUCCAGCACUCCCUCCUGUCAAGCAAAAGCUGAGAAAGUUCAAAACGAACGUAAGUGUAAAGAUUAAAGAAGAGAUUACCAAGCAGUUUGAUGCAAAGGUCAUUCGAGUUACACAGUAUCCCACCUGGUUAGCUAAUAUUGUGCCCGUGCCGAAGAAAGAUCGCAAGACCAGGGUGUGUGUCGAUUUUCUGGAUCUCAACAAGGCAAGUCAAAAGAUAAUUUUCCACUGCCGAACAUCCACAUAUUGAUUGAUAACUGUGCAAAACAUAAGAUUGGCUCUUUUGUGGAUUGUUACGUGGGUUAUCAUCAAAUUCUAAUGGAUGAGGAAGAUGUAGAAAAGACGGCAUUCAUCACGCCGUGGGAAAUGUACUAUUAUUGGGUCAUGCCGUUUGGUUUGAAAAAUGCUGGGGAAACUUAUAUGAGGGCAAUGACAACAAUAUUCCAUGAUAUGAUACACAGGGAAAUCGAUGUAUACGUGGAUGAUGUGAUCGUGAAGUCUAGACAACAAUCCGACCAUGUCGGGGAUCUAAGGAAGUUUUUCCAAAGGCUUCGCAAGUACUCUUCCGCUAAAUCCUACAAAAUGCGCUUUCGGGGUACCGUCUGGAAAGUUGUUGGGAUUUAUAGUCAGUCACCGGGGUAGUGAGCUGGAUCCAUCGAAGAUUAAGGCCAUUCAGGAAUUGCCACCUCCGAGAAACAAAACUGAGGUAAUGAUUUUGUUAGGAAGAUUGAAUUAUAUUAUUAGGUUUAUUGCGUAGCUCACGACAACUUGUGAGCCGACUUUCAAGUUGUUAAAGAAAGAUGCCACAGUCAAAUGGAUUGAUGGAUGACCGGAGGCUUUUGAUAAGAUAAAGGGGUAUUUGUCAAACCCACCCGUGUUGGUCCUGCCAGAACCGAGGCCUUUGAUUGUAUAUCUGACGGUUUUGGAUAAUUCAUUUGGCUGUGUACUGGGGUAGCAUGAUGUUACACGCAGGAAGGAGUAGGAUAUCUAUUAUCUCAUCAAGAAGUUCACAUCUUACGAGGUUAAGUAUACCCAUCUGGAGAGGACGUGUUGCACCCUAACUUGGGUGGCACAGAAGUUAAAACAUUAUUUUUCAUCCUACACUACUUUCCUCAUAUAUCUCUUGGACCCAUAGAAGUAUAUUUUUCAGAAGCCUAUGCCCACAGGGAGGCUUGAAAAGUGGCAUAUCCUGCAUAUAGAGUUCGACAUUAUCUAUGUGACACGGACUGCGAUGAAAGCACAUGCAUUAGCUGAUCAUUUCACUGAGAAUCCAGUCGAUGAAGAUUAUUAUCCUUUGAAAACUUAUUUCCCUGAUGAAGAAGUAAUGCACAUUGAUGAGUUGGAAGAAGUUGAGAAACCGGGAUGGAAGCUCUUCUUUGGUGGGGCUGUAAAUAUGAAAGGCGUGGGAAUAUGAGCGGUACUUAUUUCUAAAAUAGGUCAGCACUGCCCUGUUACUGCUCAACUUCAUUUCUAUUGUACGAAAAACAUGGUGGAAUAUGAGGCGUGUAUCUUGGGACUGAGAUUAGCUAUAGAUAUGGGUGUCCGGGAAAGUCUUGGUCAUGGGCGACUCGGACCAACUGGUACACCAAAUUCAAGGAGAAUGGGAGACCCGGGAUUUAAAGCUUAUACCAUACCGGCAAUGUUUGCAUGAGAUUUGUCAACGGUUCCAGUCUAUAGAGUUCAGGCAUAUUCCAAGGAUUCAUAAUGAGGUUGUUGAUGCCUUGGCUACUUUGGCGUCAAUGUUACAUCAUCUGGAUAAGGCUUAUAUGGACAUGUUGAAGAUUCAGGUUCGUGAUCAGCAUGCUUAUUGUAAUAUGGUAGAAGAGGAACUUGACAGUGAGCCGUGAUUUCACAACAUCAUGGAAUAUAUCAGAAUGAGGGUAUACCCGGUACAGGCUACCGGUGAUCAUAAAAGAACAAUUUGAUGAUUGGCAAGCGGCUUUUUCCAUAGUGGAGGAGAGUUAUAUAAAAGAACCCCAAAUCUCGGACUGUUGAGGUGCAUGGAUGCGAGGCAGGCCACAUCUAUCAUGACUGAGGUACACUCGGGAGUCUGUGGAUCGUACAGGAGCAGAUAUGUUUUUGUAAAGAAGAUCCUACAGCAGGUUAUUAUUGGCUUACUAUGGAGUGAGAUUUUAUCAGUUUCGUACGUAAAUGUCAUCAGUGCCAUGGAGACUAGAUUAAUUCUUCGGCAUCAGAACUACACACGAUGUCCGCGCCAUGGCCUUUUGUUGCCUGGGGCAUGGAUGUUAUUGGGCCAAUUGAGCCAGCAGCGUCAAACGGGCACAGGUUCAUUCUGGUAACUAUAGACUAUUUUACCAAAUGGGUGGAAGCUAAGACGUUCAAGUCUGUAACUAAGAAAGUUGUGAUGGAUUUUGUGCAUUCAAACAUUAUUUGUCUGUUUGGGAUACUGAAGGUGGUUAUCACAGACAAUGGGGUUAAUCUUAAUAGUCAUUUUAUGAAGGAGACAUGUGAGCAGUUCAAGAUUACCCAUAGGCAUUCUACUCCGUACCACCCUAAGGCCAAUGGUGCGGUUGAGGCAGCCAACAAGAAUAUAAAAAAAUAUUGCGGAAGAUGGUGGAAGAUUCGAGACAGUGGCAUGAAAAGUUUCCUUUUGCAUUGUUGGGAUACUGCACCACCAUUCAUACUUCAGUGGGGGUGACUCCUUAUUCAUUGGUGUAUGCCACCGAGGCAGUAACACCCGCAGAGGUGGAAAUCCCGUCUCUGCGAAUCAUUUGUGGAGGAUGAGAUCGAUGAUUAUAAAUGGGUAAAAAGCCGUCUUGAGCAGUUGAGUUUGAUUGACGAGAAGAGAUUGGCAUCAGUGUGUCAUGGUCAGUUGUACCAAAAAAGAAUGGCAAGAGCAUACAACAAGAAAUUGCGUCUGAGGAAGUUUGAAGUCGGACAGUUAGUGCUGAGACGUAUUUUGCCUCGUUGGGCUGAAGCAGAGGGAAAGUUUGCUCCAAAUUGGCAGGGACCGUUUAUUGUAACUAGAGUUUUGUCUAAUGGUGCACUAUAUUUGACAGAUGUAUAAGGAAAAUGUGUAGAAAUGGCCAUCAGUUUCGAUGCGGUCAAGAGAUACUAUGUAUGAUUUCUUUAUUCUGAAUGUACUUGUUUGUACUUGGCAUAUUUUAAAGACUAAUAUGAUGAAGGCACUUUGUUCUACUAUCCAAACACUUUUAUUCCUUGUAAUCCCCUUAGAGCCUGCUUAUUUUCUUUCAAACCCCUCUUUUGGAAUCGACGGCACAAUUAAGAAAUGCAAGUGCCGCAAAUAAGUAAAUGAAAAGAAAGUAGAAAAGGAAAAGAAUGGAGAAGAAAAGAAAAGAAAAUUGAAGGAAAAGAGAAAAGAAGAAAAUAAAAUGAAAAGAAAGGAAAUAAGAAAAGAAACACAAAAGUAAAAGAAAAAUCACAAACAAAAAUAAAGUAAUUCUAUGACGUGAACUAUGUUUGACUUGAUCCCGAAAGGGUACGUAGGCAGCCUUACUCCGAGGUUCAGUCAUACCAAAAUAAAAAUCUAAAAGUCCCCAAGAAAGAAACUGGGGCAGAGUUGGGAUUGUUGUGAGAAAUUGGAUUCUGAAAGUUGUAAUUUUAACACAUUUUGAAAUUAUUUUUUGAGCCUUUUAUACCCUUCUUCCUAACCCAUCCAAAAGCUUACAUUACGGUCCAAAGAGAGACCCUCUGAUCAGUUUUUGUGAAAUGCCAAGUUGAGCAGGUAGAAGUAAUUCAUGACAGGAGCAAAACUCUAGUUCAAGCAAGAAAAAAAAUAAAAAAAUGAUAGAGUCUUAUUGGUGAAAAUAUUCACAGGUACCAUAAGGCCACGGGAGCUGAGAGAAAAAUAAAAUAAGAGAGUCUUAUUGGUGAAAAUCUCGCGGGCACCUUGAGGUGAAAGUGAGUUGAGAAGUGGGUAAUUGAGAAAGAUCUAUCGGGGAGAACUUUUUAGAGGCACCGCAGAAAUGAACAAGGUCAAGGUUUGGGUAAAGUAAUCAAAAGACGGAAUUCUGGGGCACCAAAGUGCGUCAACUGAAAGCUGGUUAGUUGGACAGAUUGUGCCGAUUAGUCCAAAAUGCAUCUGUGACCGUUGGUACCAGCUGUCCCUGUCAAAUAAGUUUCUUUUUCUAUUCUUUUUAAACAAUCAUCCGGUUUUGGAUUCUCUUAUCCUUAACUAAUAAAAUUAUUGCAUUUCAUAGUCUUUUGGGGGUUUUUAUCUGUCUAAGAUGUUUAAUGUCAGUUUUGUUCAAUGCAAGUAGAAAGGACUUCAAAGCUCGCUACCAGCUUUCGAAAAUGGUAAAGAACAAUGUGGUCAGAGCAUGUCAACAACAACACGAUGAAAAAUGGAGUAUGGAAAGUUGCCAGAAGUUUCGUUGGUGGAAUGAUUGGGAAAUGUCAUGGGAGAUGUAAAAGUUCAAAAAGGGGUUCAGAGGUGUGAAACAACAGUAGGGGUACAGAACAUUCGGGUUGUCAAAAGUCAGAAUUUGAAAGUCAAUUGGAAAGUCAAGCAAUUCAGGCCAGUUCGGGGAAGCUGGUCAAAAUAAAGCAAUACAAUGGAAGGAUUUUCAGCAAGAAUGCCAUCAACUAACCGCCAUUUUAAAACUGACGGAAUUUUCUUUGAUUGAAACAGAGGCAGAAAAUUUCGUUGUUCCGAGGAGCUCUCAGAAAGGGAAAAACAAGCAGUAAUCAGGUUUGAUCGCAAGUGUGGUAUGGUUAAAAUACAAGAUAAUGAGGAAUAACAUAGGGAAAUGUAAGUUAGUUUCAAAGUUUGCAUGUUUAGGACAAAAUUCAAGUUUUUAAGUUGGGAGCCCACCCAUAUAACAAAGGAAUACAUUUCCGUCAUUAAAUUUUUAAUUUUGAAAUACUUUAAUCUUUAAAUUUUCGAUGUUUUGAAGUUGGGAGCCCGCCCAUAUAACAUAGGAAUACAUUUCAGCCUUUAAAUUUUAAGUUUUGAAGUUGGGAGCCAGCCCAUAUAACAAAGAAAUACAUUUCAGUCUUUAAAUAAUAAGUUUUGAAGUUGGGAGCCCGCCCAUAUAACACAGGAAUACAUUUCAGUCUUUAAAUUUUGAAGUUAUAAUCUAGUCUUUAAAUUUUGAGUUUUGAAGUUGGGAGCCCGCCCAUAUAACCGAGGAAUACAUUCAAGACUUUAAAUCUUGAAGUUAUAUUUUAGUCUUUAAAUUUUCAAUUUUUGAAGUUGGGAGCCCGCCCAUAAACAGAGUAAUACGUUUCAAUCUUUAAAUUUUGAAGUUAUAUUUCAGUCUUUAAAUUUUAAGUUUUGAAGUUGGGAGCCCGUCCAUAUAACAGAGGAAUACAUUUCAGUCUUUAAAUUUUGAAGUUAUAUUUUAGUCUUUAAAUUUUCAAGUUUUGAAGUUGGGAGCCCACCCAUAUAACGUAUGAAUACAUUUCCGUCAUUAAAUUUUGAAGUUAUAUUUCAGUCUUUAAAUUUCCAAGUGCUGAAGUUGGGAGCCCGCCCAUAUAACACAGGAAUAUAUUUCAGUCUUUAAAUUUUAAAGAUACUUUUUAGUCCUAGUACAAUUCAAGUUUUAGUUUUCAAAUCUUACCCGGUAACAAGCACCCAGUUUUCCAAACUGGGGCAGAAAAUUUUCUUUUUUUUAUCUAUUUUUUUUAAGUCAGGAGCCCGGAUGGAGAGCAGAAGAAUACAGUUCAACUUUUGAAGUUGGCACCCCGCCCAUAUAAUAGAGAAUACGUUCAAGUUCAAGUUUGUUCAAGUUUAGGGAUUUGAAGAGAAGGAACAACAUCUCCGUUGACCAGUUGAAGUAACAACAAUGGUUUUCACCAAGAGAAUACAAGACAACAGGACAAAAAGGAAUUACACGAACAAGUUUAAAAAUAUUAAGGAUCUUGUAAUUCAUAGUUCAUAGCUUAGUCUGCUUCUUUUCUUUUGCCAUAGUGUAAUAAGGAAGGUCGGCGAGCAGUAGCAACAGCAAUCGCAGUGAAAUCACAGCUCCUGGUAGUCCCAGCUACCAGACACUCCCGAAUUAUACUGACCUGAUUCAUCUUUAGCCCAGGAUAUGUAGGCAACCUCUGAAGCACGGUGCGGUCAAACUUUUCAAAAAUGCUUCACACGAAAUAAUCGAACAGGCAAAAAUCGCUCGUUGGCUCACUUAUCUUUGCACGAAAACCUAUCAUUUCGAGCAAAGAGGGGCAGCUGUGAGCACGUGAUUUUUUCCCUACAUACGAAUUAUUCCAAAAACCUCCAAACAAAAUGAUUUCUUUAUUAUUUUACAAUUUUUGUGAAUUUUUGUGUUUUUUUUUUGUUAAUUGUUUAAAUAUUAGUUGUGCAUUUUUAUUCAUAUGAAAAAUAUAAUAAAUACGCAUUUGCAUUUACGAUUUAAUUUAACACUUUAGGAUUAAUUAAGGGUUAAUUUGUUUUAGAAAAAACUAAGAAGGAAAUAACAAAAAUAGUUUAUUUUUUAGUUUUAAUUGUGAAUUUGUCGAGAAAAUGUUUUAAAAUAAUUUUAGGAGUUAAUUAGUUUAAUUUUGAAAUAUAUUAGGACUUUAUUUUAAUUUUGUGCAUUUUUAUAAAAUCAAAAAUACAAAAAAAAGUAAAUAAAAGAAACAAAGAAAGAAAACAAUGAAAAGAAAAGGGUGGUUUAAAUUGGUUGUUUAAAUUACUUGGUCCAGAUUAGCCCGAUCGAACCGACCCAAAUCCCUCCCCAGUCCUCCCAAGCCCAAUUCCUUAACCCAACCCGGUUCACCGCUUUCCCAAACAACGCCAAUUUUGGUAUCAAUUAAUCGGGGUCCUUCACCUCCGCUGAUCCAACGGUUCUUAAUCAUUCUUGAUCAAAAGAUAAAAGUGUCCGGAAAUGAAUCAAACCCUAAAGAUAUGUAUCUCCCUCCUCGUACCUUAUCGCUUCUCGUCGGCUCCGCCGCCCGCUGCUGAUGUCGGCGAUGCUCCGAUGGACUCCAAAAUUACAUCAUUGAAUCCCCGUCCCCUCCUCUUUCCAAAUUCCCAAAUCCCAUCCCUCAAAUCCUAGCCGCUCUUCUCAAAUCUUAGAUCGAAAUGCCGACUCAAAACCUUACUUGCUCCAAAAUCCACCAAAUUUUCACCACAUAACCUCCUCAUCUUUCUCUUCACAAAUCCGUGGCUAGUUUCUUUUAAAUUUUACCUGGCCGUCUCAAAUUUCAAUUCUAGGGCUGCUAAAGUCAAGUUUGUUUUGGGAGAUUUUUCGCAAGUUCGAAUGUUUUCUACAGUAAGUGUUCCUUAGUUUUUUAUUUCUAUUAGUGUAGUUUAGCUUUUCAUUUUUUUCUUUUCGCUUCAAUCUGGUUGGUUACUAGAAGCUUGGCUCAUAGUUUGGUCCUGAUUUUUUUUCUUGAGUUUUAGUUUAACACGGUGUUAAUCUUGUUAUAGUAGUUUAUUUUUGUUAUAACUUCAUAGUUCAUCAAUCCUUGUUAGCGUUUAAUUGUUAGUAUAUGUGACCAUAUUUUUGUUACUCCGAUAUUUGGCAAAGAUGUUGGUUUAAUUUCAUGCCUGAUCGAUUAUGUCUUAGUUUAAUUUUGUGUUGAUUCAUUCUGAUUAGUUGAUUUUCGGAUAAUAGUUUAAUUGGGUUCCACAUCUUUAGGAUACAUGAUACGAAUAACUGAUUGUUUCUGAUUGUUUGAUUCUAGAUUUAUGUUGACUAUAAUUAGUUGUCUAUCAACCAAGGGUAAGGGUUUGGUUUAGUUAACGGAGGUAGGGAGGAAAUAAGGGUAGUUUAGGCAUGGAAAAGGGUAGUUUUGUUAAGAAUAAUGAUUCCAAAACGAAAGCGAUGGUAGUAUAGGUAUUGUAUAGGUAGAAGAACACCCUAGGACCUUUUAGAAUUGAACUUUAGUGUACUUUCAACACAAUAGAGGUAGUUACUUGCAUAGCAAGUUAAUAAAUGAGUGAGUAAAGUAAAAAAAGAAGAGGGACUGAAAAGAAAACCAAAAAUUUGAUUGUUCACCCUUAUGGUGCCUUUAAAUUGGCAUUCUCAUGCCUUAGGGAGGGGUCUUCUUUUCAGCCAACAAAAAUUCCCCAAAUACUCUCUAGUUACAGAUUCAAAAGGAGAUCUGAAAUCUGAAAUUUCCUUUAGAAGUUUAAGCUUUUCUACAGAAAAGCCAAAAGAAAAACAACAAAACCUCUGAACCAAAAGAAAAACAUGGUUCCAUUGCUUUUUCUCUUAGAUUAUUUUCCAAUUCUAGCUUAGUUAAAUUCUUUAAUCCUUUUAAAAAACCAAAAAUAUCUCGCAAUAUGUUGUUUCUGUUCAAGAUUUGAACGAAUCAUUUGAGCAGUAGUAUUGGGUUAUUCGAGUGGGCUUUGGGAUGUUUGAGUUGGCUGUGGUUUACUGGAUAUUUUAUGAGUAUUUUGGUACUAUUUUUGGUUUAUUCUGUGAUCCUAUUUGGUUUUGAAACAAUCCUAAGACUUAGAGCUUGUUUCUGAAUUGUUGAUGUUUGGUUGUUGCAUCAGUUGACCUCUUCUCUUUUGUUAUUUCACUUUCUAGGUACACACUCGAAAUUCUGUUGUAACCCCAUGCUUGAAAUGGAAUAAAAUUACCCAGCUAUUUUGAUCCUGAGAUUUUCCUGCUAGUUGUUACAUAUUCAUAGUUAAAUAGAUAUUAUAUGUGUUGUUUAAUAUAGUUAAGUGUCAAUUGGUUGUGUAUAAACUGUGGACUGUAUGGACUGUCACUAUUACUCUUGAUUGAAUUUCAUUAGUAAGAGCAGACGUAAUUAUUUUUUAUCCAAACUACAAAGUGAUCUUAUUUCAGGAAUGCUUCAAUUAAAAGUGUUAGUUUCAUGAUAGGUUAAUGGCAUCGUCUUAUAAAGGAUUUGUUAAAUCGUUUCUGAUUUGUGUAAGUAAUAGGACAUAACGUUAACAGCAUACUCACAACUUAGGUUCAAUUGUCAUGCCAAUUUAAAGUAUAUGAGUUUUUCACCUUAGUUCCAGAUUUUCUUUUUACC
rnacentral:lncRNA from 1 species